rnacentral:rRNA from 1 species
CGCUAUCACUCCUACGGGAGGCAGCAGUGGGGAAUCUUGGACAAUGGGGGCAACCCCUGAUCCAGCCAUGCCGCGUGAGUGAUGAAGGCCUUAGGGUCGUAAAGCUCUUUCGCCUGUGAUGAUAAUGACAGUAGCAGGUAAAGAAACCCCGGCUAACUCCGUGCCAGCAGCCGCGGUAAUACGGAGGGGGUUAGCGUUGUUCAGAAUUACUGGGCGUAAAGCGCGCGUAGGCGGAUUAGUCAGUUAGAGGUGAAAUCCCAGGGCUCAACCCUGGAACUGCCUUUAAUACUGCUAGUCUUGAGUUCGAGAGAGGUGAGUGGAAUUCCGAGUGUAGAGGUGAAAUUCGUAGAUAUUCGGAGGAACACCAGUGGCGAAGGCGGCUCACUGGCUCGAUACUGACGCUGAGGUGCGAAAGUGUGGGGAGCAAACAGGAUUAGAUACCCUGGUAG